CAUUUUAUUGCAAUUAAUACAAAAGCAAAGGUGUGCAUAAAUUUAAUUUGACAUGUUUUAAUUAUUGAGCAUUUAAAACUUAUAUGAGAAAUAAUAAACACUAAAUUUGAUUAUCUAAUUAUUCGAAUGUUUAUGAUUACGUGAAAUAAUGAGUGAAAAGAUAUAUGCAUUUGUGUGUUCCGUGCUUCUCCUCGUCAUUUCGUUAUCGAAAUCGCAGCAAAUUUCCACCAACAAGAAUGAUAAUUUAACGAUACGAUACGAGAUAAAUACGGAUUCUACAACAAAUUAUAACGACGCAAUAAUAACACUGCGACAUAAUUUGCAUAAAAAUUUGAUGAUUAAUACACAGAAUGACAAAAUGCAGCAUGAAUUUUAUAUGAAUAAUAAACGUGAGGUUAAUGAUUUGAUUCAACAUAAACGUCACAAGCAUUCAAUGAAGAAUAAAGAUGAUGAGCAAAAAACGAUAAAAUCUAACAUAAAUUCGACAAAUGUCAAUCAUAAAAAAAUUUUACGCCGCAAGAAAUUUACGAAAAUGUAAUUAAAAAGAAUGAUUCCAUGUCACUUGAAGUCUUCAAAAAUUCCAGCAAAGAUGCUAACGAAACUAACAUCGUCCCAAACGAAAUGUGUCAUAAUGAUACUUGCAUUCGUCUCUGCUGUUCUCUUGGCGAGCGUCUAGUUCAUGGCAACUGCAUUCCUGAAAGAGUUGAAUACAUUUUUCCAAACGUAUACAUGAACGAUUCGACGCAGAGCGAAAAGAGAAUGAACGUAUUGUUUGAGCUAGCCAUUAAUGAUUCGUGCCGGGAAGAUUACUAUCUGCUUUCUAAAAGUUUUCAGUGGGAUUAUAAGAUUUUUACCAACGGUUCUAUAUAUUUACCUUAUUAUAAAAUAUUUGUUGAAUCGACAUCAUAUUGUCUCGCCGUCGUCGACAGGAAUGAGUUCGAAGUAAUCAUCUGUUUUAAAACUUAUGACAAGCUUAAGGAGAUACUUAAUAAAAAGCGAAUGGCGCUUCUGACAACGAUUUAUCAAAAUAUUACGGAAAUAAGUGUCUAUAUAAUACCUAUAUUAUUUUUGGGGUCAGUAUUUCUGGUGUAUUCUAUUAUGCCAGAACUCCAAAAUAAACACGGCUUCAUGUUGCGCAAUUAUAGCGGUGCCGUGUCUGUUGUAUACGGAAUUGAUGUUGUGUAUUUUUUUAUCAAAUCGGAUAUACAGUAUCCCGUCUGCGUUACAAUAGCUUUUUUAAAAUAUUUUUGCUAUAUGGCGAGUUACUUUUGGUUAAGUAUAAUGAGCUUUGAUAUGUGGUUCACAUUCAGCCUGAAGUUUUCCCUGCAAAAUUGUUUUUUAAAAUGUAUAUGUCGAUCUUUCUUUAUCAAGUUAUCGCAAAUUGAAGAGAAAAUGUAAUUUUCAAUUUAAUCGUUCAUAACAUCGUUAAAAAUCAUCGUACAGCAAUUUUAAGAAUGGAUUCUUCAAGCUGAAUCUUUGCUUUACAGUAUAAUAUAGUGACUUGAUGUAAAACACAUUAUUUUAACGUAUUUACAUUCUGAUUUAUGUUAUUUAUUGUUUGCUAAAUAUGUUGUGUAAAUUGCAGAGGAUUCAGUUCGUUAGUAAGAAACGUCAGACAACAAGAAAAAAAAAAGUUGAUAUAUUAUACGAUCUUUGCGUGGGGAUGUCCCUUUAUGCUUGCUAUUUUAUGUGUCAGCAUGGAUAUUCUUUCGGCGUAUGUAAAUGUACCACCGAUUUUGCAACCGGAAUUUCAUUUAGGAGAUUGCUGGUUUUUUAAGAUUGGUCCGCAUUUGUUGUAUUAUUAUGUGCUCAGUAGUAUGUGCGUCAUCAAUAGCAUUUGUUUAUCUAUUUAUACAGCAUUAAAAAUUGCGCGUUUCAAUAAGGAAUUGAAUUCUUGUCUAAAAAAUUCGGAGAGUAAAUGCUUUAACGAUUAUAAAAAAUGGCUCAAUCUAUAUCUGCAGCUAUUUAUCGUACUGUUUAUCGCAAUGGGCAUAGAAUGGCUAAUAAUAACAGCGUCAUUAUUAUAUAAAAAUUUAUCAAUUUACAACAUUAUAUGGUAUGUUGUUAAUUUUAUGGGCAUUAUGCAGAGUUUGUGCAUCUUUGUCAUAUUUGUGUGUAAAAAAAGGAUCAAGCGCAUGUUAUUCAAGCGAUUCGGCUUCGGUUUGUCAUCAAAUGCUUGACACGGAUCAAAUGCAACAUUUUCGAGCAUUCUUACCACGUCAAAAGAAAUAGUCAUGCAGGAAAAGAUGAGUUCUUCCGGACGAGCAAGAAGUCACACUGAUUUAAUCGACCUUUAAUUUUUAUUUAAAAAUUUAAAUCAUGUUUUUUUAUGUCGUUCUUUAUAGUUUAGAUUAAUAAUUAUAAUUCACACAUAUUUUCGCGCGCGCGGAUUUUGUAGCAAAAACAUAUU